rnacentral:rRNA from 1 species
UAGGGAAUCUUCCGCAAUGGGCGAAAGCCUGACGGAGCAACGCCGCGUGAGUGAUGAAGGUCUUCGGAUCGUAAAACUCUGUUCUUAGGGAAGAACAAAUGUGUAAGUAACUAUGCACGUCUUGACGGUACCUAAUCAGAAAGCCCCGGCUAACUACGUGCCAGCAGCCGCGGUAAUACGUAGGUGGCAAGCGUUAUCCGGAAUUAUUGGGCGUAAAGCGCGCGUAGGCGGUUUUUUAAGUCUGAUGUGAAAGCCCACGGCUCAACCGUGGAGGGUCAUUGGAAACUGGAAAACUUGAGUGCAGAAGAGGAAAGUGGAAUUCCAUGUGUAGCGGUGAAAUGCGCAUAGAUAUGGAGGAACACCAGUGGCGAAGGCGACUUUCUGGUCUGUAACUGACGCUGAUGUGCGAAAGCGUGGGGAUCAAACAGG